GUCUUAUUGGUAAAUAAUUUUAAGUCUUGCCUGCCCCCUGUUUAGAUAAAUGGCCGCAGUAUUUUGACUGUGCUAAGGUAGCAUAAUCAUUAGUUUUUUAAUUGAAAGCUUGAAUGAAUGGUAAUAUGAAAAAAUCACUGUCUCUUUUAUAAAAUUAAAAUUUUAUUUUUAAGUAAAAAAGCUUAAAUUUAGUUAAAAGACGAGAAGACCCUUUAGAAUUUUAUUUAAAUUAAUUUUUAAUUUAUUAGUAAUUAAAAUUUAUUGAUUAGUUUAUAUUUAAUUGGGGUGAUUAGAAAAUUUAAGAAUCUUUUUUUUAUGCUACCAUUGAUUUAUGAUUAUAUGAUUCAUUUUAAUGAUUAAAGAAUAAAUUACCUUAGGGAUAACAGCGUAAUUUUUUUUAAAAGUUCAAAUUAAAAAAAAAGAUUGCGACCUCGAUGUUGGAUUAAAAU
rnacentral:rRNA from 1 species